rnacentral:rRNA from 1 species
AGGGUUUGAUCCUGGCUCAGGAUGAACGCUGGCGGCGUGCCUAAUACAUGCAAGUCGAACGAAGUCUUCGGACUUAGUGGCGAACGGGUGAGUAACACGUUGGUACCUACCCCGAAGUGGGGAAUAACUGCCCGAAAGGGUGGCUAAUACCGCAUAAUACCGCAAGGUUAAAGCAGUAAUGCGCUUCGGGAGGGGCCUGCGUCCCAUUAGCUUGUUGGUAGUGUAAUGGACUACCAAGGCGACGAUGGGUAGCUGGAUCGAGAGGUUGACCAGCCACACUGGGACUGAGAUACGGCCCAGACUCCUACGGGAGGCAGCAGUAAGGAAUCUUCCACAAUGGACGAAAGUCUGAUGGAGCAACGCCGCGUGCAGGAUGACGGCCUUCGGGUUGUAAACUGCUUUUAUAUGGGAAGAUUAUGACGGUACCAUAUGAAUAAGGACCGGCUAACUACGUGCCAGCAGCCGCGGUAAUACGUAGGGUCCAAGCGUUAUCCGGAAUCACUGGGCGUAAAGCGUCCGCAGCCGGAAGCUUAAGUGAGAUGUUAAAUCGUGUGGCUCAACCAUAUCGAUGCAUCUCAUACUGGGUUUCUAGAGGAUGGCAGAGGCAAGUGGAAUUAGCAGUGUAGCAGUGAAAUGCGUAGAUAUUGCUAGGAACACCAAUGGCGAAGGCAGCUUGCUGGGCCAUUUCUGACGGUCAUGGACGAAAGCGUGGGGAGCGAACAGGAUUAGAUACCCUGGUAGUCCACGCCGUAAACGAUGCAUACUAGACGUAUGGGGUAUCGACCCCCUGUGCGUCGAAGCUAACGCGAUAAGUAUGCCGCCUGGGAAGUACGGCCGCAAGG